UGACUGAAGUGACUUAGCAGCAGCAGCCAGGUGUUUCUUGACUUCAUACUUUUGCUUUCUGGUCCCCUAUAAUGAAAAGGACAUUAAUAUCACAGUAAUCCCAGUCUAUGCCCCCACCAAUAAUGCUGAAGAAGCUGAAGUUGAAUGGUCCAACGUAUGCUUUAUAAGUAGAUUAGUGGUCACUGAAUGUAAUAUGUAAAUUAAUAUUGCUCACAAGAAACUAAAAUAUAUCCUGCUGGCAACUAGGGGUUACAUAUUCAUUGAUUUGCAUGCUGACUUUAAGAAACUAGGCUAAAGAAUUCAUUGCAAAAUUAUCAUGCUGGUCAAGACAAAAUGUCAGUGUUAUACUGUGUUACUUAUUGAGAGAUGAUGAUGUGUGGAUCUCAUGGAUAGCCUGUGUAGAUUUACUUCUGGGUAAAAUAAGCCUUUUAACCAGCUGUGAAAUCUUAUGUUGGCAUGCAUAUGAUGGUAGAUUUUGUCAUAGCUUUCAGAAGAGUAAAUCCUUAACCUUUGCUUAAAUAAAAUAUAAAUACACCUUUUCAUCUAGCAAUUCUGUUUUCAGA
rnacentral:lncRNA from 1 species